AUGGUUAAGCUAAUAAGAGCACACGGAGGAUGCCUAGGCGCCAGGAGCCGACGAAGGACGUGGCGAACAACGAAACUGCCUCGGGGAGCUGUAAGCAAGCUUUGAUCCGGGGGUGUCCGAAUGGGGAAACCCAGCUGUGGUAAUUCGCAGUUACUCAUACCUGAAUACAUAGGGUGUGUAGAGGCA
rnacentral:rRNA from 1 species